AUUCAAGUAAAGGGUGCCAAAUAGGACGAAACGAGCGUCCUGAAU
rfam:Schistosoma mansoni, Puerto Rico, WGS project CABG01000000 data, contig: 0010